rnacentral:tRNA from 1 species
GCCAGUGUGGCAUAGUAGUAUGAGUGUUGGACUAUGACUCUGGAGACCAGGGUUCGAUUCCCCACUUGGCU